rnacentral:rRNA from 1 species
CCUACGGGAGGCAGCAGUGAGGAAUAUUGGUCAAUGGACGCAAGUCUGAACCAGCCAUGCCGCGUGCAGGAUGACGGCUCUAUGAGUUGUAAACUGCUUUUGUACGAGGGUAAACCCCGAUUCGUGUAUCGGGUUGAAAGUAUCGUACGAAUGAGGAUCGGCUAACUCCUUCCCAGCAGCCGCGGUAAUACGGAGGAUGCGAGCGUUAUCCGGUUUUUUUGGGUUUAAAGGGUGCGUAGGCGGAAUGCCAAGUCAGCGGUAAAAUCGCGGGGCUCAACCUCGCUCCGCAGUUGAUACUGGCGUUCUUGAGUGGGCGAGAGGUAUGCGGAAUGCGUGGUGUAGCGGUGAAAUGCAUAGAUAUCAGGCAGAACUCCGAUUGCGAAGGCAGCAUACCGGCGCCCAACUGACGCUGAAGAACGAAAGCGUGGGUAUCGAACAGGAUUAGAUACCCGAGUAGUC